rnacentral:misc_RNA from 1 species
AUAACUGGAAGAAACUAGGGGUCUCUCCCUUACACUGGUUACCUAUACAACUAUUCCACAUAUAUAUUUUGGAUUGAACACAUCUAGCCUUAUAUCUUAUUACUACAUGUUGCAAAGAAUAUCAAAACUAUAGAAACUUAAUUUAGAUCACCAGAUAACUCAUUUUAUCGCCAGUAUCCCUUAGCUACCACAGGAAUCCUUACUUUAUGCCCUCGGCUGCCUUUCAUGAAUAUUUCUCCAAAACUAUAUGUUCCAGUUACUGAUCGAACAGUGAGACUAACAGAGAACUUCCGUGAUGCACCGGGCUUUAGUGUCAUUGCUGAAGGGGUAGCUUCAAUGGCAAUAGAUGGUUGCAUUCUUGCUGUGAUCACAUAGGUUUCUUCCUCAGCAACAUUUGUAACCGUGCGAGUAACUGUUUGAGUUUUCACUAGAUGGGAUACAGUGAUUGAUGGGUUGUUGAAAUUUGAUGGAUGGCUCAUGGUGUAGUUGCAAGGAGAGUUUGUAUAGUUCUUAAUCGCAUGGGAAUCAAUUCCAGGUGUCGUGCAUAAGAACCCAAGGUAAUCCUCGUAACCUGCAUCAAAGAUUAGUCCAGGAUCCAGAGCAGCCCUUGGAUUAACAUGACCACUUCCGUAAUCAAAGGGGGUAGCUGUGACCAGCUUCAUGGCUUCUGUUUCAGAGUACUGUUGCGCUUGAAGAGGGCUUCCUGCUCUGUCCUGCAGUGUUGCUGUUGUCAUUAAGGCUGAUCUGAUGGCAGCAGGACUCCAAUGAGGAUGUUUCUGCUUCACAAGCGCAGCUAUCCCUGCUAUAUGGGGUGCAGCCAUACUCGUUCCAGAUAUCAUGGCAAAUCCUUCUCCUGCUCCAAGAAGUUAAAUGCAUAUUAUGCAAAUAUAAUUUUUUUUCCUUUAUGUUUGCUAUUAUAUGCAUGCUCUUUUAAGUUUUUAAAUUCAUACCCAAUAACAUGGGGAAAGAAAGAGAGAUUUUGAAUUUCAUAUAUUCUACUUCCUCGCACAAAAUGGAGCAUGAAUGAUUCAAGUGAAGGUAGCAAUAGGUUAGGUCAUUUUGAGUUUACAUAGGCUAGGAUCAUUCAAUACUCAAUAGGUCAAUUUAUAGGGAUUAAUUUCAAAUAUUCUGGAUUAGGCAAGUUAUUUUCACAAUUAUUUUGGUGUUUUUUACAUUAUUAUUUAUUUUGGACUCUAAAAUUAAAUUAUUUCAGGCCAUUCAUAUUAGUUGAGUAAUGACCCAAUUAACCUUCAAAUUUUUGGUUCAGGUUUUGACCUUAUGUCAUCGAAGGAAUUCAGGCUAGGUCAAAUAUCGUCAUCCCUAGCUUCAAGAGUUCAUCAUCUAGCUACAAGAGUUUAAGUCAGAGGACUCCAAGCAUUCAUCAUCGAGCUCCUUUAAAAGUGACCAAAGUAAGUGAUAUAAGUUAACAGGACUCCAAACCUCAUGAAACCUCUCCUCACGCCCUUGCCCUCCCAAUGUGCAUAAAGUUCCUUCAACUCUGCCACUCCUAAACUGACCAAGUUUUAAGGCAUUAACAUAGAGUAUACAGAAUUUGAUAAUUUAUUUACCAACAUAAUUUGGCUCGUCUGUUCCAUUUGGAGACCAAGCAGCCCAAAUAAGAGAACCGGGAGCCAAGAUAUCUGGCUUAAGAAGAUCAGCAUCUUGGAAGCUGAAAUCUUUUAUGUUGGGCCCUCGAGCAGAGAAUAAUGCCACCUGUGGUGCUGAUUUAUGGAGUAUAGGCAUCAAACCGUCACCAAUGCUUCCAGUAGCAUUGAAGCUCUUCACUCGUGCAGUCCAAUCUCUUGGUGUCGAAAUGUUGUAAUAAUCUAUAAGAUCCAUUGAUUUAGAGACUUCGGUGAUGAGAAUCCCAGGAAUACCAACAGGGACAGGAUCAAACUUUGUUCCUGGAGAAACAUUUUCCACAGCAAGAACAAAUCCAAUUGCACCAAGACUCUUGGCUGCUUCUGAAACCUUUUUUAUAGAUGCAGUACCAGCAACAAAAUUGAAGGAAUAGCCACAAAGAAGUAUAUUCCCCUUAACCAAGUUUUUGUUCAACACUUCUGGUCUCUGGCAGUCUGAAGGACUGUACUUCAUUACUGAAGAAUCUAGUAGUACAUCAUUUGCAGCAACCAAGGUAUAUGUUUGAUUUGGAUUUGUAGAGGGUGACAAUCCAAUUCCAGGUAAAAUUUUUCCAUUUCCAAGAGUCAGAUGGUUCUUGUAUCUCCGAUCAUCAAUGGCAGCUGCUACAGAUGUUAUCCAGGGACUAUAAGAAACCAAUGUUUUAGGGAAGGGACCUCCAUUACCAGCCGCCUGUGCAACAAAUACACCAGCUUUCACAGCUGCAAGAAGCGUAGCAUCAAAGGGAUUUAAAAAUGUUGUCUUGGUGGUUGCUGGAGGGCUAUUAGGACCCACUGAGAGAUUGAGUAUAUCAACUCCAUCAUGAACAGCCUGAUCAAUAGCAGCUACUACGUCUGCAAUAAAGCCUCCAAAAAGCCUGUAGAGUGCCUUAUAUACAGCAAUCCUAGCACGAGGAGCCAUCCCACUUGCUUUCCCAAAUUCAUGGUCAUGCAUUCUCACAGGAAUACCAUUAUUUCCUGCUGCAAUAGCAGCUAUAUGGCUUCCAUGUCCGUCACCAUCCAUGGGAGAAGCAAAAUCAAUAGAAGGGUUGAAAGCCCCAGCUGCUAUAGCAGCUUCAGCAAAAUGUUGGGCUCCAAUAAUCUUUCCAUUGCAAAAGUCUUUCUUAGUAUCAGGAUCAACUUCACAUUUUCCUCUGUACUGUGGAACAGGCUCAUAUGGAUCAGUGUUGUAUGUUGCAAAGCUUGGAUGGUGUGGAUAAAUUCCAGAGUCAACAAAUCCUAUCACAAUGUUCUCUCCAGCCCUGUCAAACCCACCUCCUGUUGGCCAAACACCAGUUGGAAGCCCCAAAAACUGUGGAGUAUGUGUUGUGAGUCUCCUCACCUUCCAAUCUCUCUCCACAGACUUCACUCCUGGGGCACACCUUAGGGUUUCUGCCUGUUCAGGGGAUAUAUGAACAGCAAAACCGUUUAUAAGAUGCCUAUAGCUGUAGAGUUUCUUGUACGUUCCAUGGUCCAACAGUGAACCAAGAAGCAUGUCAUGUUUCUCUUCAAGAUGCUGAGCAUAGGAUGUGACCAAUUGACUGGUGGUGUCAAUCUUCUCAUCAGUAUCUACAGCAAUGGGAUCAAAGCCAGGGACACCUCCUCUAUAACUUAUGACAGGCUCCCCAUCCACUGUAACAAUAUAAAUCUCUGGUUUCCCAGUAGGCAGGAGGACCAACAAAACAAGAAUUGAGCACAAAAGCUGAACCACCUUCAUUUUUAGUUACUCACAAGAUAGAAACGCAAGCAAGGAAUCAAAUCAGAAAGAAAGAAGAUGAGUCAAAGCAACAACUAAGGAAGCAAAAGAACGCAAAUGGCAUUUGGAUAAGAGAGAGCAUUAAAAGGGACAGAGACCCUCUCUAUCUCUCUCUCUCUGUUUGUGUGGGGGUAUAGAGUAUGGAGAUCAAGUGAGGCACAUCUGAUAGUGUUAAAGAGAGAAAGAGAAAGGAGGGUUUUU